AUGCCGGACAGGAACAUUCUUGAAGGGGUGGUGGCACUGUAUGAAACGCUCCAUGAGAUUCACACGAAAAAACUGGAUGGAGUGGUUUUUAAGGUGGAUUUCGAGAAAGCGUACGAUAAAGUCAAAUGGCCUUUCUUUCAACAGGCAUUACGCAUGAAGGGUUUUGAUGAAGCUUGGCGACGCCAAGUAGAAUCCUUCACGCAAAAAGGGAGUGUUGGAAUUAAAGUGAAUGACGAUAUAGGUCAUUAUUUCCAGACACACAAGGGCCUCAGACAAGUUGAUCCAAUGUCUCCUAUUGUGUUCAACGUUGUCAUUGUUAUGUUGGCAAUCUUGAUAGGUCGGGCAAAGGAGGCCGGACAAGUAGGUGGCUUGGUGCCUCAUCUAGUUGAUGGUGGUGUGUCCAUCCUACAGUACGCCGAUGAUACAAUCAUCUUUAUGGAGCACGACUUGGCUAAGGCGAGAAAUAUGAAGCUGGUACUGUGCCUUUUCGAGCAAUUGACCGGUCUGAAGAUUAACUUCCAUAAAAGCGAGUUGUUCUGUUUUGGUAGAGCCAAAGAGGAACAAGAUGCAUACAAGCAACUGUUUGGUUGCGAACUGGGGGCUCUACCGUUCACUUAUCUAGGUAUCCCCAUUCACCAUCGUAAGUUGACUAACAGCGAAUGGAAGUGUAUCGAGGAUCGGUUUGAGAAGAAACUGAGCUGUUGGAAGGGCAAACUCAUGGCAUAUGGAGGCCGAUUGAUUCUCAUUAAUUCGGUGCUCACGAGUAUGCCUAUGUUUCUUUUAUCCUUUUUUGAAGUACCAGUUGGAGUUAGGAAAAUGUUGGACUUCUAUCGAUCACGUUUCUUCUGGCAGAGUGAUGAACUUAAGAGAAAGUACCAUUUAGCCAAAUGGGAUGUCAUCUGCCGACCAAAAGACCAAGGGUGUCUUGGGGUUGAGAACCUUGAAAUCAAGAACAGAUGCCUUCUCAGUAAGUGGCCAUAUAAGUUAUCUGUCGAGACUGAGGCAACUUGGGCGCAGAUUCUUCGUAACAAGUAUCUGUACUCUAAGACCUUGUCACAGGUGACAGUUAGACCAACUGAUUCGCCUUUCUGGAAGGGGCUAAUGAGGGUCAAAGCUACUUUCUUUAAUAGAACAAAGUUUAUUGUCGGUGCUGGCAAUAACACUCGAUUCUGGGAGGAUACUUGGCUUGGUGAUACGCCGCGGCUCUUUAGUAUCCGUCGCUAUAUCGUAUUGUGCAGCGACGUGAUGCUCUGGUUGCAACGAGUUUGCAAUCCGCUCCUCUUAAUAUUCACUUUAGGAGGGUGCUUGCUGGGGACCGGUGGGAGGCUUGGAUUCAUCUGGUGA
rnacentral:rRNA from 1 species